rnacentral:rRNA from 1 species
AACGAACGCUGGCGGCGUGCUUAACACAUGCAAGUCGAACGCGAAAGGGACUUCGGUCCUGAGUAAAGUGGCGCACGGGUGAGUAACGCGUAGAUAACCUGUCUUCAUGUCUGGAAUAAUACGCCGAAAGGGGUACUAAUACCGGAUAUCUUGCUUUUCAUAAGUUAUGCAAGCAAAGGUGGCCUCUGCAUAUGCUACUGCAUGAAGAGGGGUCUGCGUACCAUUAGCUAGUAGGUGGGGUAAUGGCCUACCUAGGCGACGAUGGUUAGCGGGUCUGAGAGGAUGAUCCGCCACACUGGCACUGGAACACGGGCCAGACUCCUACGGGAGGCAGCAGUGAGGAAUAUUGCGCAAUGGGGGAAACCCUGACGCAGCGACGCCGCGUGAGUGAGGAAGGCCCUUCGGGUCGUAAAGCUCUGUCAAGAGGAAAGAAGUGUGCAAUGGCUAAUACCUGUUGUAUUUGACGGUACCUCUAAAGGAAGCACCGGCUAACUCCGUGCCAGCAGCUGC